CUCUUUUAAUACAAAUUAAUGCUGCUGGUGAAUCCUCGCCUCCCAUUUUCUAGGGUGUGCAAAGAUGAAUGCAGAAUUCAUGGAUUAUCCUUGGACACGUAAACCAGAUGUGCAUGGGAAGUUGAGUUGACACACCAGAGGGUUCAUCAGAACUGGUCUGCACAUUUCCAAAGCCUAUUUUUGGACACAAAGGCAAACAAGGAAAACACAUUUUUCAUCUUGGUACUGUCAUGUGCAGUGUAAUUAAUUGGUCUCUGAUAAAUCUGCAAAGUUUAAAAAAAAACAUUUUGAUUGUGCAAUCUUAGUUUGUGGAUUUACAAAUAUUAUUUAUUGUCAUAAACGUUGCCAUAAAAGGCCCAUGUGAUGCAAAUGUGGCUUGUACAGUUCCUAAUGUUUGAAUAAGUUGAAUUACAAAUACAAUCAAGUUGCAUGUAACCAAAUAAUAAAAUAUUUGCCUCUUAAUAUUUAUGUUAUUGCUCAAUCACAUUGCUCAAUUAUAUUUUAAGUGGGGCACACCUUAUGUGCUCUGCAUGACUCUCGAUGUAUACUUCACUAACUUUAUGUUACCUGUUCCUUUUUUAUGAGUUUUAACAGUUGCAUAGUUUGGACAAGUUUAAACAUCUACAGACCAAAGCUGUCUAGAUGUUCCACAGCUAACAGUGACAUCAGGAUCGUGU